GAUGAACGCUGGCGGCGUGCCUAAUACAUGCAAGUCGAGCGAACGGACGAGAAGCUUGCUUCUCUGAUGUUAGCGGCGGACGGGUGAGUAACACGUGGAUAACCUACCUAUAAGACUGGGAUAACUUCGGGAAACCGUAGCUAAUACCGGAUAAUAUUUUGAACCGCAUGGUUCAAAAGUGAAAGACGGUCUUGCUGUCACUUAUAGAUGGAUCCGCGCUGCAUUAGCUAGUUGAUAAGGUAACGGCUUACCAAGGCAACGAUGCAUAGCCGACCUGAGAGGGUGAUCGGCCACACUGGAACUGAGACACGGUCCAGACUCCUACGGGAGGCAGCAGUAGGGAAUCUUCCGCAAUGGGCGAAAGCCUGACGGAGCAACGCCGCGUGAGUGAUGAAGGUCUUCGGAUCGUAAAACUCUGUUAUUAGGGAAGAACAUAUGUGUAAGUAACUGUGCACAUCUUGACGGUACCUAAUCAGAAAGCCACGGCUAACUACGU
rnacentral:rRNA from 1 species